rnacentral:rRNA from 1 species
CUGCUGCCUUCCGUAGGAGUCUGGUCCGUGUCUCAGUACCAGUGUGGGGGACCUUCCUCUCAGAACCCCUACGCACCGUCGCCUCGGUGGGCCGUUACCCCGCCGACUAGCUAAUGCGCCGCAUGCCCAUCCCCCGCCGGAAUCGCUUCCUUUGGCCGCAGACCCAUGCAGGUCCGCGGCGUUACGCGGUAUUAGUCGGGAUUUCUCCCGGUUAUCCCCCUGCGGGGGGCAGGUCGCAUACGUGUUACUCACCCGUGCGCCGGUCGCCGGCAGG